rnacentral:rRNA from 1 species
GAUGAACGCUGGCGGCGUGCCUAAUACAUGCAAGUCGAGCGAACAGACGAGGAGCUUGCGCCUCUGACGUUAGCGGCGGACGGGUGAGUAACACGUGGAUAACCUACCUAUAAGACUGGGAUAACUUCGGGAAACCGGAGCUAAUACCGGAUAAUAUAUUGAACCGCAUGGUUCAAUAGUGAAAGACGGUUUUGCUGUCACUUAUAGAUGGAUCCGCGCCGCAUUAGCUAGUUGGUAAGGUAACGGCUUACCAAGGCAACGAUGCGUAGCCGACCUGAGAGGGUGAUCGGCCCCACUGGAACGGAGACACGGUCCAGACUCCUACGGGAGGCAGCAGUAGGGAAUCUUCCGCAAUGGGCGAAAGCCUGACGGAGCAACGCCGCGUGAGUGAUGAAGGUCUUCGGAUCGUAAAACUCUGUUAUUAGGGAAGAACAAAUGUGUAAGUAACUAUGCACGUCUUGACGGUACCUAAUCAGAAAGCCACGGCUAACUACGUG